rnacentral:lncRNA from 1 species
ACCACUCCACUUCAGAAUGAACUUCGUGCGAACCUGAAUUGUCCAAUUUCAUGGACCAAUCGAUAUCGAAGUAAGUCCAAAACUUGGGGAACAUCAUAAUACGGUGGGAGGAGUCAUUUGGCGUCUUUUGAGUGAAAUCCAAUGGCUAAAACUAUGCAAUACACCAACCAAUCCAUUUCAGAAUGAACUUCGUUCGAACCUGAAUUGUGCAAUUUCAUGGACCAAUCGAUAUCGGAUUGAGUCCAAAACUUGGGGAGCAUCAUACUAUGGUGGGUGGAGUCAUUUGGUGGCUUUUGAGUGAAAUCCAAUGGUUAAAACUAUGUAAUACACUAACCACUCCACUUCAGAAUGAACUUCAUACGAACCUGAAUUGUCCAAUUUCAUGGACCAAUCGAUAUCGGAUUAAGUCCAAAACUUGGUGAACAUCAUAAUACGGUGGGAAGAUUCAUUUGGUGCCUUUUGAGUGAAAUCCAAUUGGUAAAACUACGCAAUACACCAACCACUCCACUUCAGAACGAACUUCGUACGAACGUGAACUGUCCAGUUUCAUGGACCAAUCGAUAUCGGAUUGAGUUCAAAACUUCAGAAACAUCAUACUACGGUGGGAGGAGUCAUUUGGUGGGUUUUGAGUGAAAUCCAAUCUCUACAACUAUGCAAUACACUAACCACUCCAUUUCAUAACGAACUUCGUACGAACCUGAAUUGUCCAAUUUCAUGGACCAAUCGAUAUCGGAUUGAGUCCAAAACUUGGGGAUCAUGAUAAUACGGUGGGAUGAGUCAUUCGGUACGUUUUGAUUGAAAUCCAAUGUCUACAACUAUGCAAUACACCAACCACUCCCAUUUCAUAACGAACUUCGUACGAACCUGAAUUGUCCAAUUUCAUGGACCAAUCGAUAUCGGAUUGAGUCCAAAACCUAGGGAACAUCAUAAUAUAAUGGGAGGAGUCAUUUGGUGCCUUUUGAGUGAAAUCCAAUGGCUAAAACUAUGCAAUGCACCAACCACUCCAUUUCAGAACGAACUUCGUUCGAACCUGAAUUGUCCAAUUUCAUGGACUAAUCGAUAUCAGAUUGAGUCCAAAACGUGGGGAGCAUGAUACUAUGGUGGGUGGAGUCAGUUGGUGGCUUUUGAGUGAAAUCCAAUGGCUAAAACUAUGUAAUACACUAACCACUCCACUUCAGAAUGAACUUCGUGCGAACCUGAGUUGUCCAAAUUCAUGAACCAAUCGAUAUCGAAGUAAGUCCAAAACUUGGGGAACAUUAUAAUACGGUGGGAGGAGUCAUUUGGCGUCUUUUGAGUGAAAUCCAAUUGCUAAAACUAUACAAUACACCAACCAAUCCAUUUCAGAACGAACUUCGUUCGAACAUGAAUUGUGCAAUUUCAUGGACCAAUCGAUAUCGGAUUGAGUCCAAAACUUGGGGAGCAUCAUACUAUGGUGGGUGGAGUCAUUUGGUGGCUUUUGAGUGAAAUCCAAUGGCUAAAACUAUGUAAUACACUAACCACUCCACUUGAGAAUGAACUUCAUACGAACCUGAAUUGUCCAAUUUCAUGGACCAAUCGAUAUCGGAUUAAGUCCAAAACUUGGUGAACAUCAUAAUACGGUGGGAGGAGUCAUUUGGUGUCUUUUGAGUGAAAUCUAACGGCUACAACUACGCAAUACACCAACCACUCCAUUUCAGAACGAACUUCGUACGAACAUGAACUAUCCAAUUUCAUGGACCAAUCGAUAUCGGAUUGAGUUCAAAACUUGGGAAACAUCAUACUACGGUGGGAGGAGUCAUUUGGUGGGUUUUGAGUGAAAUCCAAUCUCUACAACUAUGCAAUACACUAACCACUCCAUUUCAUAACGAACUUCGUACGAACCUGAAUUGUCCAAUUUCAUGGACCAAUCGAUAUCGGAUUGAGUCCAAAACUUGGGGAUCAUCAAAAUACUGUGGGAUGAGUCAUUCGGUACGUUUUGAUUGAAAUCCAAUGUCUACAACUAUCCAAUACACCAACCACUCUAUUUCAUAACGAACUUCGUACGAACCUGAAUUGUCCAAUUUCAUGGACCAAUCGAUAUCGGAUUGAGUCCCAAAACCUAGGGAACAUCAUAAUAUAAUGGGAGGAGUCAUUUGGUGCCUUUUGAGUGAAAUCCAAUGGCUAAAACUAUGCAAUGCACCAACCACUCCAUUUCAGAACGAACUUCGUUCGAACCUGAAUUGUCCAAUUUCAUGGACUAAUCGAUAUCAGAUUGAGUCCAAAACGUGGGGAGCAUGAUACUAUGGUGGGUGGAGUCAGUUGGUGGCUUUUGAGUGAAAUCCAAUGGCUAAAACUAUGUAAUACACUAACCACUCCACUUCAGAAUGAACUUCGUGCGAACCUGAGUUGUCCAAAUUCAUGAACCAAUCGAUAUCGAAGUAAGUCCAAAACUUGGGGAACAUUAUAAUACGGUGGGAGGAGUCAUUUGGCGUCUUUUGAGUGAAAUCCAAUGGCUAAAACUAUGCAAUACACCAACCAAUCCAUUUCAGAAUGAACUUCGUUCGAACCUGAAUUGUGCAAUUUCAUGGACCAAUCGAUAUCGGAUUGAGUCCAAAACUUGGGGAGCAUCAUACUAUGGUGGGUGGAGUCAUUUGGUGGCUUUUGAGUGAAAUCCAAUGGUUAAAACUAUGUAAUACACUAACC